AUUGAACGCUGGCGGCAUGCUUUACACAUGCAAGUCGAACGGUAACAGGCCGCAAGGUGCUGACGAGUGGCGAACGGGUGAGUAAUGCAUCGGAACGUGCCCAGUCGUGGGGGAUAACGCAGCGAAAGCUGUGCUAAUACCGCAUACGAUCUGUGGAUGAAAGCGGGGGACCGAAAGGCCUCGCGCGAUUGGAGAGGCCGAUGUCAGAUUAAGGAGUUGGUGGGGUAAAGGCUCACCAAGCCAACGAUCUGUAGCUGGUCUGAGAGGACGACCAGCCACACUGGGACUGAGACACGGCCCAGACUCCUACGGGAGGCAGCAGUGGGGAAUUUUGGACAAUGGGCGCAAGCCUGAUCCAGCAAUGCCGCGUGCAGGAAGAAGGCCUUCGGGUUGUAAACUGCUUUUGUACGGAGCGAAAAGGCUCUCUCUAAUACAGGGGGCUCAUGACGGUACCGUAAGAAUAAGCACCGGCUAACUACGUGCCAGCCGCCGCGGUAAGAC
rnacentral:rRNA from 1 species